CUACGCCAGAAGCUCCCCUAAAGAUUGUUGAUAGCUACAGAGUGGAGAGGACAAAGCUUUUACUUGAUUGAUGAUCAAUAGACAGACAACCCCACCAGCUAUUCCUUUCCUUCCCUACAUAAUAAAUACAUUGUAAAAGAAAAAUAAUAUACUCCUACUAUGUGGUAUAUAAGGCCUCACUUCCUGUUUUUGAGCAGAAAUAGUGGGGGAGAGAGAAGAGAGGAGAGCACUUUUUUAUCCUCCAAGCUAUACAGUCCCUUGCUUGUUUCAGCUUUAUAUUUAUUCUCUACCUGCUUUCAACAUCUUCUGAAAAAUCUCCUGUGGCUGUGGCUGUGGCUGUGGCUGUGUGCCUGUGUGCCUGUGAAAAAGAUGCCCCUCCCUCCCUCAUGUGCCCUCUUCUCUCUUUCUUUUAUGUUUAAACCGAAUAACUUUGCCAGAUUUGUAGAGAUCUUCUAUCGCUUUCUAGCUCUUCUCUGACUCUCAUGAGGACUGCGAUCUUUCCUCUUCCCUGCCUUUAUUGCAGCUCCUAAAAAAAUAAAAUAAAAUAAAAAGACAUUGCAGCUGAAGCUGAUCACCGUGGAAGCACUGGAUGCUUUAUAGGUCAAUUUUCAUGCACGGCCAAUCUCCAUGGAGCUAUAUGGUGUCGCAGAAAACCGCUUUGAGAAACUGAUCUUUAGGUUUUAUAUAAGGUUGACAUCUUGAUGGAAACUUUAGUGUUAUUGCAGGGUGAAAAAAGAAAUGGGUGGAUGGAUCUCUGAUUGCCAUAAAAUUAAGAAUCACCAGGCUGGUUGAUAGCAUUGACAGCCGCCGUGGCAUCAGAUUCAAUCACCACGUGCUGGUCUGCAAACUGCUCCGCAAACCUUACUGCUUUCUAUAAUAGCCACGGCCUCUUCGUCAACGGCUGAUCAGCACCUGAACGACGGCACUUUGCCACCCACAAUCUGCCCACUGGAGUUCCUACAAAACCAUGCAAAUACAUGUUGGCUCAGAUCCAUUGAUGAAGGAGGCAUCACAGUUAUUAUUGGCAGUACCCUGAUUUGGUAGGUCUAUCUGGAUGGUCAAUCUGCACCAUGCCUUUUUUAGCGGACUUCUGCCCAAACAAUUGUGGAAUUUAU